rfam:Gossypium raimondii chromosome 12, whole genome shotgun sequence.
AAUCCAUGGUGUGGGCAUUUCUAAAUUAGAUUUUUAAAAUACUCCCAAGGUUCGUGAAAACUUUCUCCUUCUAGUUGUUUAAAAGUUGCAAUCUCCUUUCUUAGUUG